rnacentral:tRNA from 1 species
GGGCUUAUAGCUCAGUUGGUUAGAGCGGCGGCCUCAUAAGCCGAAGGUGCCUGGUUCGAUUCCUGGUAAGCCCA